rnacentral:rRNA from 1 species
CAAGCGGUGGAGUAUGUGGUUUAAUUCGAUGCAACGCGAAGAACCUUACCUGGUCUUGACAUCCCGGAGACCCUUAGGAAACUAGGGGGUGCUUCCAUCUGGAAGAAUCUGGAGACAGGUGCUGCAUGGCUGUCGUCAGCUCGUGUCGUGAGAUGUUGGGUUAAGUCCCGCAACGAGCGCAACCCUUGCCUUUAGUUGCCAGCAGUUCGGCUGGGCACUCUAAAGGGACUGCCGGUGUUAAACCGGAGGAAGGUGGGGAUGACGUCAAGUCCUCAUGGCCUUUAUGACCAGGGCUACACACGUACUACAAUGGCCGAUACAAAGGGCAGCGACACUGCGAGGUGAAGCCAAUCCCGUAAAAUCGGUCUCAGUCCGGAUUGGAGUCUGCAACUCGACUCCAUGAAGUUGGAAUCGCUAGUAAUCGUGGAUCAGCAUGCCACGGUGAAUACGUUCCCGGGCCUU